rnacentral:rRNA from 1 species
AACGAACGCUGGCGGCAGGCUUAACACAUGCAAGUCGAGCGCCCCGCAAGGGGAGCGGCAGACGGGUGAGUAACGCGUGGGAACGUACCUUUUGGUUCGGAACAACUCCGGGAAACUGGAGCUAAUACCGGAUAAGCCCUAACGGGGAAAGAUUUAUCGCCGAAAGAUCGGCCCGCGUCUGAUUAGCUAGUUGGUGAGGUAACGGCUCACCAAGGCGACGAUCAGUAGCUGGUCUGAGAGGAUGAUCAGCCACACUGGGACUGAGACACGGCCCAAACCCCUCCGGGGGGCAGAAGUGGGGAAUAUUGGAAAAGGGGCCAAACCCGGAUCCCCCCAUGCCGGGGGAGUGAUGAAGCCUUUAGGGUUGUAAAGCUCUUUUGUCCGGGAAGAUAAUGACUGUCCCGAAAAAAUAACCCCCGCUUAAUUUCGU